rnacentral:rRNA from 1 species
GACGUAGGGCGCGAGCGUUGUCCGGAUUUAUUGGGCGUAAAGAGCUCGUAGGCGGCUUGUCGCGUCGAAUGUGAAAACUCGGGGCUCAACUCCGAGCUUGCAUUCGAUACGGGCAGGCUAGAGUUCGGUAGGGGAGACUGGAAUUCCUGGUGUAGCGGUGAAAUGCGCAGAUAUCAGGAGGAACACCGGUGGCGAAGGCGGGUCUCUGGGCCGAUACUGACGCUGAGGAGCGAAAGCGUGGGGAGCGAACGG